AUGGAAACUCCAUUGAGCACUCUGCUGGUGCUCCUGUGUGUGCAGCUGACCUGGUCAAAUGGACAACUGCCAGUGGAACAGAAUGCUCCUUCCCUAAAAGUCAAGGAAGGUGACAGCGUCACACUGAACUGCAGUUACAGAGACAGCGCUUCAGAUUUCUUGCAGUGUUUCAGGCAGGAUGCUGAGGAAGGCGUCAUUUCCUUGAUACAAAUGCUACCAACUGUGAGAGACAAGAUCAGUGGAAGAUUCACAGCCAGGCUUAAAAAAGGAGACCAGCAUUUUUCCCCGCACAUAUAG